GAUGAAAGAACGCAGCGAAAUGCGAUAAGUAAUGUGAAUUGCAGAAUUCAGUGAAUCAUCGAAUCUUUGAACGCACAUUGCGCCCUCUGGUAUUCCGGAGGGCAUGCCUGUUCGAGCGUCAUUAUCAACCAUCAAGCUCUGCUUGGCAUUGAGCGUCACCCCCCCUCCCGGGUGGGCGCGCUUCAAACCGGUCGGCGGUGGCUCAGGCCUCUUAAGCGUUAGUAAUACUUCCCGCUUCUGGAGACUGUGGUCGCCCGCCUCCAAAACCCAACACCUCAAGGUUGACCUCGGAUCAGGUAGGGAUACCCGCUGAACUUAAGCAUAUCAAUAAGCGGAGGA
rnacentral:misc_RNA from 1 species